rnacentral:rRNA from 1 species
UAGGGAAUCUUCCGCAAUGGACGCAAGUCUGACGGAGCAACGCCGCGUGAGUGAAGAAGGAUUUCGGUUCGUAAAACUCUGUUGUUAGAGAAGAACAGCGCAUAGAGUAACUGUUAUGCGUGUGACGGUAUCUAACCAGAAAGCCACGGCUAACUACGUGCCAGCAGCCGCGGUAAUACGUAGGUGGCAAGCGUUGUCCGGAUUUAUUGGGCGUAAAGCGAGCGCAGGCGGUCAAUUAAGUCUGAUGUGAAAGCCCCCGGUUCAACCGGGGAGGGUCAUUGGAAACUGGUUGACUUGAGUGCAGAAGAGGAGAGUGGAAUUCCAUGUGUAGCGGUGAAAUGCGUAGAUAUAUGGAGGAACACCAGUGGCGAAGGCGACUCUCUGGUCUGUAACUGACGCUGAGGCUCGAAAGCGUGGGUAGCAAACAGG